UACGUAGGGUGCAAGCGUUGUCCGGAAUUAUUGGGCGUAAAGAGCUCGUAGGCGGUCUGUCGCGUCGGAUGUGAAAAUCCAGGGCUCAACCCUGGACCUGCAUUCGAUACGGGCAGACUAGAGUUCGGUAGGGGAGACUGGAAUUCCUGGUGUAUCGGUGAAAUGCGCAGAUAUCAGGAGGAACACCGGUGGCGAAGGCGGGUCUCUGGGCCGAAACUGACGCUGAGGAGCGAAAGCGUGGGGAGCAAACAGG
rnacentral:rRNA from 1 species